rnacentral:lncRNA from 1 species
UGAGUUGAUAAAAUCUCAUUCUGUCUCAGUGUUUAGAUCCUUGUAAUGACUGAAAUCUCUGAGACAUUAAUUAUGGGUAUGAUUGAAAAACAGACAUAGCAGUGUGUGUGUAGAAUAGGAGUAGGAGUCAAGGGGAAGGGAGAUGAAGAUGGAGAGUUUGAAGCACCUCAGAAUGGAGAACAGAAAAGGUCUAAAAGGCAUGAUUGGAAUGAAUAAAAGAAGGAGGACAAAGAGAAGGAAUGAGAGAAGCUUAUUCUGAGAUAAGUUUAAAUAUAUAAGAAUGGAAGAGAUAAUAAAACUACCAGGAACCAACA